rnacentral:rRNA from 1 species
GACGAACGCUGGCGGCGUGCUUAACACAUGCAAGUCGAACGGAAAGGCCCUGCGUUUGUGUGGUGCUCGAGUGGCGAACUGGUGAGUAACACGUGAGUAACCUGCCCUUGACUUUGUGAUAACUUCAGGAAACUGGGGCUAAUACCGGAUAGGAGCUCCUGCUGCAUGGUGGGGGUUGGAAAGUUUCGGCGGUUGGGGAUGGACUCGCGGCUUAUCAGCUUGUUGGUGGGGUAGUGGCUUACCAAGGCUUUGACGGGUAGCCGGCCUGAGAGGGUGACCGGCCACAUUGGGACUGAGAUACGGCGCAGACUCCUACGGGAGGCAGCAGUGGGGAAUAUUGCACAAUGGGCGGAAGCCUGAUGCAGCAACGCCGCGUGCGGGAUGACGGCCUUCGGGUUGUAAACCGCUUUCGCCUGUGACGAAGCGUGAGUGACGGUAAUGGGUAAAGAAGCACCGGCUAACUACGUG